GGUUAAGUGACUAAGCGUACACGGUGGAUGCCCUGGCAGUCAGAGGCGAUGAAGGACGUGCUAAUCUGCGAUAAGCGUCGGUAAGGUGAUAUGAACCGUUAUAACCGGCGAUUUCCGAAUGGGGAAACCCAGUGUGAUUCGUCACACUAUCAUUAACUGAAUCCAUAGGUUAAUGAGGCGAACCGGGGGAACUGAAACAUCUAAGUACCCCGAGGAAAAGAAAUCAACCGAGAUUCCCCCAGUAGCGGCGAGCGAACGGGGAGGAGCCCAGAGCCUGAAUCAGUGUGUGUGUUAGUGGAAGCGUCUGGAAAGGCGCGCGAUACAGGGUGACAGCCCCGUACACAAAAAUGCACAUGCUGUGAGCUCGAUGAGUAGGGCGGGACACGUGGUAUCCUGUCUGAAUAUGGGGGGACCAUCCUCCAAGGCUAAAUACUCCUGACUGACCGAUAGUGAACCAGUACCGUGAGGGAAAGGCGAAAAGAACCCCGGCGAGGGGAGUGAAAAAGAACCUGAAACCGUGUACGUACAAGCAGUGGGAGCACAGAGCAAUCUGUGUGACUGCGUACCUUUUGUAUAAUGGGUCAGCGACUUAUAUUCUGUAGCAAGGUUAACCGAAUAGGGGAGCCGAAGGGAAACCGAGUCUUAACUGGGCGUUAAGUUGCAGGGUAUAGACCCGAAACCCGGUGAUCUAGCCAUGGGCAGGUUGAAGGUUGGGUAACACUAACUGGAGGACCGAACCGACUAAUGUUGAAAAAUUAGCGGAUGACUUGUGGCUGGGGGUGAAAGGCCAAUCAAACCGGGAGAUAGCUGGUUCUCCCCGAAAGCUAUUUAGGUAGCGCCUCGUGAAUUCAUCUCCGGGGGUAGAGCACUGUUUCGGCAAGGGGGUCAUCCCGACUUACCAACCCGAUGCAAACUGCGAAUACCGGAGAAUGUUAUCACGGGAGACACACGGCGGGUGCUAACGUCCGUCGUGAAGAGGGAAACAACCCAGACCGCCAGCUAAGGUCCCAAAGUCAUGGUUAAGUGGGAAACGAUGUGGGAAGGCCCAGACAGCCAGGAUGUUGGCUUAGAAGCAGCCAUCAUUUAAAGAAAGCGUAAUAGCUCACUGGUCGAGUCGGCCUGCGCGGAAGAUGUAACGGGGCUAAACCAUGCACCGAAGCUGCGGCAGCGACACUAUGUGUUGUUGGGUAGGGGAGCGUUCUGUAAGCCUGUGAAGGUGUGCUGUGAGGCAUGCUGGAGGUAUCAGAAGUGCGAAUGCUGACAUAAGUAACGAUAAAGCGGGUGAAAAGCCCGCUCGCCGGAAGACCAAGGGUUCCUGUCCAACGUUAAUCGGGGCAGGGUGAGUCGACCCCUAAGGCGAGGCCGAAAGGCGUAGUCGAUGGGAAACAGGUUAAUAUUCCUGUACUUGGUGUUACUGCGAAGGGGGGACGGAGAAGGCUAUGUUGGCCGGGCGACGGUUGUCCCGGUUUAAGCGUGUAGGCUGGUUUUCCAGGCAAAUCCGGAAAAUCAAGGCUGAGGCGUGAUGACGAGGCACUACGGUGCUGAAGCAACAAAUGCCCUGCUUCCAGGAAAAGCCUCUAAGCAUCAGGUAACAUCAAAUCGUACCCCAAACCGACACAGGUGGUCAGGUAGAGAAUACCAAGGCGCUUGAGAGAACUCGGGUGAAGGAACUAGGCAAAAUGGUGCCGUAACUUCGGGAGAAGGCACGCUGAUAUGUAGGUGAAGCGACUUGCUCGUGGAGCUGAAAUCAGUCGAAGAUACCAGCUGGCUGCAACUGUUUAUUAAAAACACAGCACUGUGCAAACACGAAAGUGGACGUAUACGGUGUGACGCCUGCCCGGUGCCGGAAGGUUAAUUGAUGGGGUCAGCGCAAGCGAAGCUCUUGAUCGAAGCCC
rnacentral:rRNA from 1 species